CUCGUGAGGAUCUGUUCUUUAGGACUACUUUCCAAGUCAGCUGCCACCAUCAACAGGAGUUCUACUCGAGCCCAUCGGGCCUGUAGACUGUUUUCAUCCCCUUAUAGAAGGAGGGAGGAAGGGGAGGCCAUAGAACCCUCAUCUGAGUAUCCAGGUUCCCCUCUCAACCAGCUGUGUAGUUGCAUGACUAUGGUAAUGAGAAUGACCUUGGAUCCUGCAGCUGAUCAUCUCAAAUCCGGCAAAGAUUGUUCUUCAGUUCCUUUCAUCGCAAGUGUAGCCUCAGGCCCAUGCUUUGGCGUACCUUCUACCUUGUACCUCUCCUGAAUUCAUCAGGUGUUCUGCUGUGAUGGGAGCAAUGCACCAUGGGAAAUGCAGUCACACCCUUAGCUUCAGAGGAAAAAAACGAUCAGAGGCAGCCUGAGUUACAGAGGUCCUCAGGUCUCAUUGGGACCCACUUGCCCUGGACAAACCAAACUGAUCAGAGUCACCACCAGGCCCAGCGACUUCAUUCCCAUGGCAGCUAUGUGCUUUGGGGAUCCAUGGCAUCUAUAAUCUAGCAUCUUGGCUGUGCCUUCUGUCCUGAAGGUCUAUCUGCUCAUCUGUCUCUGAGUGCUUCGGCAGUUGCUCCAUGUGGGCUUCUGUUCAAAUCUGCUUUCUCUGCAGGGGUGGUCUGAAUAGGAAUGGCCCCCAUAGACUCACAAUACUUGCCCUAGGGAGUGGCACUAUGAGGAGGUGUGGCCUGGUUGGAGAAAGUGUGUCACUGCAGGGGCGGGCUUUGAGGUCUCAUGUGCUCAAGCUAUGCCCACUGUGGCUCACAGUCUCCUUUUGUCGCCUACCGAUCAAGAUGUAGAACUCGCAACUCUUUCUCCAGCACCAUGUCUGCCUGCACGCUUCCCUCCAUGGACUAAACCUCUGAAACUGUAAGCCAGCC
rnacentral:lncRNA from 1 species